CGUACCUGCCCUGAGCGCUCGGCCGAGCGCCCGGCAGGCUGCAGCGCUAGCCCUUCCUCGCGUGCUCCGCCCUGGUCCCCGGUGGCCCACGCGGGGGCACCCAGCGCAGCCUGGCAUCCGCUGGCGGGCGGGCCCCACGCGGCUCCUCCUCGCAGCGUGCGGAACUGCCCCGCGUGCCGCCCCCACUCCAGCCCCGGGAAGCCCCGAUUGCGGGCGGAGCGCGAGCCACCGCGGCGGGUGGAGCCUGCGGCCGCCGGAUCCCAGGGCCAAUCGCGCGGUGGCAGGGGAGGAGCCCCGGAGGGGGAAAAAGAAAGUGCGGCGGAAAGUAAGAGGCGAGUCGAGGAAGGCUGCUGGGAUCUGGGUCUCCUGGGCUCGGCUUGGACCAGGGCGCGGAAAGAGGCAGUGGCCGGCCACCCUGCACCCAUCCCGUCAUUGUCGCCGAGUCUGCUCGGCUGGCCCAGGAAGGAUGGGAUUUCUGUGGUUGAUGAGUCUGUGCUUCUUUGGGAUCCUGCAGAGUCAUGCCUCAGUUGUGACUUCAGUAUAAUUUCAAAAGACCCCGGCAUUUAAUGACGCAGGAAACAAAAUAAGCAAAGUGGAUGGAGCUCCCAUAUUCUACACUAUCAGGAGUUUGCUGUGCUUUUUCUGUAUCUGAAUGUCUUUUGUUAUUCACCCUGACUCUUGGAUAACACCAGUAC
rnacentral:lncRNA from 1 species